UCCCUAUGGGGUGCAGCAGUCGCGAAAACUCCGCAAUGCACGAAAGUGUGACGGGGCUACCCCGAGUGCCACCCGCUGAGGGUGGCUUUUCUUUGGUAUAAUUAGCCAUUGGAAUAAGGAGAGGGCAAGACUGGUGUCAGCCGCCGCGGUAAUACCAGCUCUCCGAGUGGUAGGGAUGAUUAUUGGGCUUAAAGCGUCCGUAGCCGGCUUAGCAAGUCUCCUGUUAAACUCAGCGACCUAAUCGUUGACCCGCGGGAGAUACUACUAGGCUAGGAGGCGGGAGAGGUCGACGGUACUUCUGGGGUAGGGGUGAAAUCCUAUAAUCCCGGGAGGACCACCAGUGGCGAAGGCUGUCGACUAGAACGCGCUCGACGGUGAGGGACGAAAGCUGGGGGAGCGAACCGGAUUAGAUACCCGGGUAGUCCCAGCCGUAAACGAUGCGGGCUAGGUGUUGGGAUGGCUACGUGCCAUUUCAGUGCCGCAGGGAAGCCAUUAAGCCCGCCGCCUGGGGAGUACGGCCGCAAGGCUGAAACUUAAAGGAAUUGGCGGGGGAGCACCACAAGGCGUGAAGCCUGCGGUUCAAUUGGAGUCAACGCCGGAA
rnacentral:rRNA from 1 species